rnacentral:lncRNA from 1 species
UGAUCAUCAUGCCUCACUGCCAUUCCCUGCCUAGGGUUCCUGGGGGGGCCGAAGGCAUGCGAUGCCUUCUGUGAGGUCCAUCUUUUGUUUCUUUCACCAGAGGCUCCUUUCUCACCAAGAAGCAGGACCAGGCAGCCCGGAAGAUCAUGAGAUUCCUGCGGCGCUGCCGACACAGGAUGAGGGAACUGAAGCAGAACCAGGAGCUGGAAGGGCUUCCCCAGCCGGGACUGGCCACAUGACCUGGCCACCGCCUUUCUCACCACCCUGGGGGCGCCUCGUGCAGUCUUAACAGGGAGAGGGCUUUCUGGGGCAGGGGGAGCCCCUGUCGGCAGCUUUCCUGUUCACCUUUGUUGGAGCCCUCUGUAGGCCUCCUCCCUCCUCCCCACGCCUUGCUCCCACACCCCUCUCCUCGUCCCUCCUGGUCGUGCCCCGUCUCUUUUGGUCCUGGCUCCAGAAAACCCGCGCCCCACAUACCUGCAUCUUCCGCUGUGACCUCCGGAGCCCUGCCUGCCCCUGCUCCCCAGCUCCUCCUGCCUGCACCCGACUCGGCCCCCUCCUGACUUGCCUUAUUUAUUUGUUCGACGCGUCUCUGAAUGUAUCCGCCUCGGUUCCCACCACUGCCUUCGCUGCGCACGCCCCUCGUGUUUCAGGGCUGACCGUGUCCCCACCCGACUCCGCAUGUUUGCGUCUGUUUCCUCCCUCUCUGGCCCUGUCUUACCCCAUCACCCGACUCUGGCCACUGACCUCAGGGCCGAAGGGGAGGUGGUGUACAUAGGAACGCGUUGCGGAGUCCGCCCCGUCCCCCGAGGGGAGGGGUCUUGUACAUACUGUAACAUACAGAGUAUAGUGAAGAAUC